rnacentral:lncRNA from 1 species
ACCGCUAAAUGUCGCAAACUAACUGAAAUAUUUAGCAGCACAGCCAGCAGCAGCACCUCGCAGUUAAUAUUAGCAGCAGUGAAGAAGUGAUCCAGACAGCUAUGCAGCAACAUGCCACCAGUGAUGAUGAUGAGGGACAGAAAGAUGAGCUGGUUCCACAGGCAGAGCCAGGGCAAGUAGCAAUCUCUCUUUUCCUGAAU